UCGCCCUAAAUGUCCCGCCUAAUUCUCUUAUUCCUGCUCCCACACCCUACUCCACGAUUAUCAGAUCCCUCAAACAACAAACUCAACCUACACUCCCAAAAAUCAACUGCUCUUCACUAGAAACGUUCUUACAUAAAAGCUCAAAUUCUCGGAAUCCUCUCAAUUUCGUCUUUAAUCUGUUACCUAAAGCAAAUCCCCUCAAAUUUGUUCAAAAUCUGUAACAAUCCUCUCAUUCCUAUCAAUAUUUAAGGAUGGAAAUCUCGGGUUAAGGGUUCUUCACAAUUGCCCAAACAAAACCAUCUCAAGUUUCUAUAAAUUAGUGUUUUUUCUGGAGAAAUUCGUCUGAGUUGUGGGUUGUAGAGUUACAGCUCCUUUGGUUUGUCAGAUAGAUUCGCCCAAUUCACUCAAGAAAUUCUUGAAGGUCAUAUUUACUACUAGAUGUCAUUUCUGUGAGCGCUCUCGUCAUUUUUGUUACACGUGUAGCUCUUGGAUACAAACAGACGUGGAAUAGAUAUGAGCUACUCGUCAACAGGGCCCUGUAUGAAAAAAACUUUGGCUAGUGGGCUUGGCUCUGUUUAUUUUCUCCUAGAUGCUUCAGAACACCAAUUACUGAUGAUUCUUGUGGCAAUGGUGAAAAGCAGGCCUAGACAUGAGACUUUGACACUAUUGCCAAAGGCAAGGUUAGUAUAAUUGUAGAAGCUGAUCCUGAAGUCUUACGCGAUAAGCGUGUUCAACUUGCUGUCGAAGGAAGGUUAUGUGAUUAUGCAAUAUCUGUCAGAGAAGCUGCUUUGGAACUUGUUGGAAGGCAUAUUGAAUCUCAUCCUGAUGUUGGUUUGCAAGGAUACCCCUCACCUUUCUCGCCGUCUCCUCCGAUUUCUCCCCUCCCUCUCUCCUCCAUGUAAAUUCUGGAAGCUCUAAUUGUCAGGCUUGAGAAGUUGAUGUUCAUCAACGUAAUUACCACACCGAAUUCGAGGUUUAUCUUCAAUAAUAGUGUCUGAUUCAAUCAUCAAUUCCCAAUGUUUCUAAGGAUUUCUGCAAGAAAAAGAGGGCGAAUAAGUCGCCAAAAUUGAAGCAGUGUAAGCUUGAUGCUCGCCUUGAAGAAUGGCUUCCGCAAGAUUCGCGAAUGAAAAAGCCAGAGGUGUAUGUGACUUCUUCAUUAAGGUCUAACAGGAAAGUAUCUGGUUUGGUGGACAAAGGUAACUUAAUACAAUCAUAGAUGAAGAUAAUGAAUCCAUAAUGUUGUUUUUAUUUCAUUUAUCAGUGGAAAGCUGCAAAAGAGGAGAAAGAGUAAUGUAAAACUCUGUUAGAAAUUCUUUAAAAGAAGAGACAACGAGAGAUUGAGGGAUGGCGCGCGCAGCAGAUUGCAAGUGGGGAGAUACGGAAGCUAUUGUGGCGACAAUGAAAGAAAACCAGAUUAACUCUCGGAGAGGGCCAAGCCUGUUUGGCAUGUUGGUAACGAAUAAGUCUUGGCAACAUUAUGCACAAUAGGAAAAUCACCAGCAAUAUGCUGUUCCCAGGUCGCCGUAUGCUGUAAUUUAAAAACAACGCCACCACCACCAACAUGUCGUCUUUCUUGA